rnacentral:rRNA from 1 species
UACGAAGGGGGCUAGCGUUGCUCGGAAUUACUGGGCGUAAAGGGCGCGUAGGCGGACAGUUUAGUCAGAGGUGAAAGCCCAGGGCUCAACCUUUGAAAGCCGGUGGAUACUGUGAGGCUAGAGUACGGAAGAGGCGAGUGGAAUUCCUGGUGUAGCGGUGGAAUGCGCAGAUAUCAGGAGGAACACCAAUAGCGAAGGCAGCUCGCUGGGACGUAACUGACACUGAGGCGCGAAAGCGUGGGGAGCGAACAGG